UUGCGCUAUCCUAGUUUUAUUGCGAUGUAAUGAUAGCAAGCCGAUGUUUCGCAAAACAAGCUCGGUUUUGUGACUACAUAGAUACCUGCGGCACUUUUUUAACUCGGCUGUAGUGACGUUUGAGUGUGGUUUUGAGAGCAUCUCGGCAAAACCAAUUUGGGGCAUCGCGUCGGGCCGAGCAGCUGUUUUAGCACCUGCCAUUGCCCAUCUGCCGAAGAAGAAUACCUUCGUGCUGGCUGGCAGCUUUCGUCCCUUGGCUCGUGCCUUAUUAUAAAGAACGGGGCGUUAAUUCCAGAAGCAUUGCGAACAUGGAAUCACUAGGAAGGAGCCCGUUUGGCUAUAUCGGAGCAUACAACAUACUUACAAAGGUUGGACCUUGCCAGCACACCUUUUUCCUUCCUCCAUCUUUAAAUCUUUUGACGUGUAACCCUAAAUAUAAUGAAACAUUUGUAA